UACGGGGGGGGCAAGCGUUGUUCGGAAUUACUGGGCGUAAAGGGCUCGUAGGCGGCCAACUAAGUCAGACGUGAAAUCCCUCGGCUCAACCGAGGAACUGCACUCGAUACUGGUCGGCUAGAGUCCGGGAGGGGAUGGUGGAAUUCCCAGUGUAGCGGUGAAAUGCGUAGAUAUUGGGAAGAACACCGGUGGCGAAGGCGGCCAUCUGGACCGGAACUGACGCUGAGGCGCGAAAGCCAGGGGAGCGAAUGGG
rnacentral:rRNA from 1 species